GAACACAAGCAUCAACUUAGCUUCAGUGUUUUCUUUUUCUAGGGCGUCCUCUUCUGCCCUCCUUUGGCCCCUCCCAGGGGAAAGAUGUUGGGUACUGUCUCUCCAGCUGACUCUUUCCAAGUGAAGCACGCAGUUCUGAAGUCUCUACAGUUUUCUGAGAUGAAUAUUCUAUCUCCUCUAUUCUUUCUCAAAUCAGCCAUCUGAGAUGUGUCUGUCUCCAUUAUUGCCCAGAAAAUCUCACAAAUGGCAUGCAUUAGAGUGCUCACUUAACUUGAAAAAUAUUACAUGGCAAUUGAGAAAACUUGCAAAUAUCCUUUUUUUCAGUGAAAACAAAGAUUAACAUCUUUCAGAAAGAGAAAUACUCAAGGCAUCAGAAGAAAAUGACUCAUGAAUAUAUGAAGUAUGCAUUGUGCAGUGUUGGUCAACGGGGCUCCUGAUGUUUACUAAAACAAGUGCAUGUUACAAAACCUUUCACAGUUCAUUCACUAAAUUUAUAGCAAUAAUGAAAAAUUCAAACAAAGCAAUAAGCUUUAGAGAACACACUGUCUUCAAGAUGGUUAUUUAUUUUGUGACCUCCCCCAAGCCAGCCUCAAUAAUAAAUAUUGUUGGAUUUUCUCAUUAAAAGUGUGGGGGGGGGUAAGGGUUGUUAACCUUUUUUCAUUGCUUUUGGAUUUGUCAUUUGUCAUUUUAAUUUUGCUAUUUAUACAAUUUCAUAUCUGAAUCCAGGCAUUUAAACUCUGUGGAAUUAGAACAGCCAUGUUAUUAAUUUGUUUGUUUUCCUGUAAAGUCACUUACUGGAGCUGCUGGGCUUGCAGGAAACAUAAGAUGUCUUUGAAGUUAUAUUUGUAUGGUUAUAAGAAAUUUUUUGUUUCUACCAUAUAAUGCAAAUUUAAUAAUAUAAUGAUAAUAGUAAUAAUUUUGUAUGAUUUGUUUUACUUUAUGACUCUUGCAAGUAAAGUAUGUCAUGAAGUCAUAGUAAUAAAAUAAUUUGGAACCUAAUGUGACCUGAGGGUGGCAAAAACUUCGAUUUUUUUUCUUUAAGAUCAUUAUGAUACUCCUAUUCUCCUAGACUCC